CAGCCGGGGAAGAAACUGUUUCCCUGCCCAUCCCCCACAGGAUCCGCUCCAGGGCCGCCUGCCCAGCAACCCAGGGACUGAGCCAGGGGCUGGAGCCCAGCUAGCCUCCCCAGAUCAGGCAGCCCCCAAGUUACAAUUCUUCACUGUUCGUGGGAGCCCCUGCCUAAGGCUGGCUGACUAGCUGAUUCAUGCCACGCACUGGGGGGCCCUCCGAGCGGGGCCCUGCCGGGCUCUGCAGAGCCGCCACGAGCAAGGAGGGCGCUUGCCCGGACGGGAGCCGGUGGCCGAGCGGGCAGGCUUUACAGUCAUGUACAGCGUCUUAAGAUACUGGGUUGAUGGCCCGCGAUCACGGCUACUGGGGAGACUGAAGCAGAGGCCAGCCUGGACAACUUAGCAAGACGCCCCCCACACACACCCUUUUUUUGCCGGCUCAAAAAAAAAGGUAUUUGUCCUGGGGAAGAAACCAGCCAGCCAGUAUAGAAACGUCUGAAGCAAAGCUCUCCCUAGGAGGCAGCACCUUGCCUGAAACCCACGGGAUGAGAGGGCCAAGAGGGGAGAGCUGCCCAAGCAGAGACCGCCCGCAGAGAGCUCACCGCGCAUUCCAGCUGGCCGCGGGUCACAGCCAAGGUUGGAAAGACCAAAAAGAGGUGACAUGGGGCUCCUCGGCCUAUCUAAGAAUGCAAUUUUGCCUCAGCCUCCUCCAUUUCGUUCCUCUUUCAGCCCAUGUAUACGAAGCACCAACCCUUUUCCCUUUCUCAGCAAUGGAAUGUCGCAGGGAGCAACUCCCUGGGGUCUAAUUCUAGAAUCAAAUAUAUCAUCAGACUGUGUUAAUGUGUUGGGUGGCCAGCCAUGAGUAGGCCCGUCAGGGAGCAUGAUGGGGAGGUAACUUACAGGGAGGACGGCACACACACAAGGCACAGGACUGGGGAUUGAGAGGGAACUUUAUCAAAGCAGACAAACAUCUGGAAAAUGGGAACGGGUAUGCCAACCCCCCCCCCAGUAAUAGUUAAUUAUAACCCCUUAAGGAAACUAUUGUUCCAAGACCCCCAAAGUAAGUCAUAGUUCUCUCUUGUAACCAGGUCAUCAGGACCCUCACAAAGAAAAUUGGCUGAGAACUACACAAAAUAAGAGGAUAAUAAUAAACCAUUUAUCAAUCAAAAACGGGAGAGGUAUGAAAAAUGAGUCAAGAACAAAGGGACCCAAACCCUGGAAGAUGGAUAGAUGCGCUAUCUUUCACCUUUAAUAUUAAAUUCCUGCUUAUUACUCCGUGACUUGCUUGAAAUCCUUCCUGCUGGUGGGCAAGGACUAAUUGCUGUGGACCCCACAUUUGCUUCAGCUGCAUGCAACCCCUCUACAACAAAGGCAUUGAAAGAAACAUACAAGGUGGGGCUGGGACUGUGGCUCAGUGGCAGAGCACUUGCCUCAUACAUAUGAGGCACUGGGUUAGAGCCUCAGCACCACAUGAAA
rnacentral:lncRNA from 1 species